UACGUAGGGACCAAGCGUUGUUCGGAUUACUGGGCGUAAAGGGCGCGUAGGCGGCGUGACAAGUCAGUUGUGAAAUCUCCGAGCUUAACUCGGAACGGUCAACUGAUACUGUUGUGCUAGAGUGCAGAAGGGGCAAUCGGAAUUCUUGGUGUAGCGGUGAAAUGCGUAGAUAUCAAGAGGAACACCUGAGGUGAAGACGGGUUGCUGGGCUGACACUG
rnacentral:rRNA from 1 species